UUAAAUUGAAGAGUUUGAUCAUGGCUCAGAUUGAACGCUGGCGGCAGGCCUAACACAUGCAAGUCGAACGGUAACAGAAAGCAGCUUGCUGCUUUGCUGACGAGUGGCGGACGGGUGAGUAAUGUCUGGGAAACUGCCUGAUGGAGGGGGAUAACUA
rnacentral:rRNA from 1 species